rnacentral:rRNA from 1 species
AGCAGCCGCGGUAAUUCCAGCUCCAAUAGCGUAUAUUAAAGUUGUUGCAGUUAAAAAGCUCGUAGUUGAAUUUCGGGAUUGACGUGAUGGUCGUGCCUUAAGGGGUAUGAACUGUCGCAGUUGAUUUCUCACCUUCUGGAGAAGCAUGAUGUUCUUAAUUGGGUGUCAUGUGGAACCAGGGACCUUUACCUUGAAAAAAUUAGGGUGUUUAAAGCAGGCAUUUUGCUCGAAUACAUUAGCAUGGAAUAAUAGAAUAGGACGGCAUGGUUCUAUUUGUUGGUCUCUAGGAUCACCGUAAUGAUUAA